rnacentral:rRNA from 1 species
CUACGGGGGGCAGCAGUGGGGAAUAUUGGACAAUGGGCGAAAGCCUGAUCCAGCAAUGCCGCGUGAGUGAUGAAGGCCUUAGGGUUGUAAAGCUCUUUUACCAGGGAUGAUAAUGACAGUACCUGGAGAAUAAGCUCCGGCUAACUCCGUGCCAGCAGCCGCGGUAAUACGGAGGGAGCUAGCGUUGUUCGGAAUUACUGGGCGUAAAGCGCGCGUAGGCGGCUUUUCAAGUCAGGGGUGAAAUCCCGGGGCUCAACCCCGGAACUGCCCUUGAAACUGGAUGGCUAGAAUACUGGAGAGGUGAGUGGAAUUCCGAGUGUAGAGGUGAAAUUCGUAGAUAUUCGGAAGAACACCAGUGGCGAAGGCGACUCACUGGACAGUUAUUGACGCUGAGGUGCGAAAGCGUGGGGAGCAAACAGGAUUAGAUACCCCAGUAGUC